rnacentral:rRNA from 1 species
GACAGAGGGUGCGAACGUUGUUCGGAAUUACUGGGCGUAAAGCGCGUGUAGGCGGCAAUGCAAGUCGGGCGUGAAAUCCCACGGCUCAACCGUGGAAGUGCACUCGAAACUGCAUAGCUAGAGUCCUGGAGAGGAAGGUGGAAUGCUUGGUGUAGAGGCGAAAUUCGUAGAUAUCAAGCGGAACACCGGUGGCGAAGGCGGCCUUCUGGACAGUGACUGACGCUGAGACGCGAAAGCGUGGGGAGCAAACAGG